AUUCUACAGGUUUUCUCUUCACUUUGUUGAUCGUUUGCUUUUCUGUGAAGAAGCUUUUUAGUUUGAUAUAGUCCCAUCUGUCUGCUUUUGGUUUGUUGCUAUACUUCUGAAGUCUUACCCAUAAAAUCCUUGCCAAAACCUAUGUCCUGAACCAUUUCCCCUGUGUUUUAUUCUAGUUAUUUUAUAGUUUUGAAUCUGAUAU